AACGAACGCUGGCGGCAGGCCUAACACAUGCAAGUCGAGCGCGCCCUUCGGGGUGAGCGGCGGACGGGUUAGUAACGCGUGGGAAUGUACCCUUCUCUAAGGAAUAGCCUCUGGAAACGAGAGUAAUACCUUAUACGCCCUUCGGGGAAAGAUUUAUCGGAGAGGGAUCAGCCCGCGUUUAGAUUAGAUAGUUGGUGGGUAACGCCUACCAAGUCUACGAUCUAUAGCUGGUUUUAGAGGAUGAUCAGCAACACUGGGACUGAGACACGGCCCAGACUCCUACGGGAGCAGCAGUGGGGAAUCUUGGACAAUGGGCGCAAGCCUGAUCCAGCCAUGCCGCGUGAGUGAUGAAGGCCUU
rnacentral:rRNA from 1 species